ensembl:ncRNA C31H2.5 ncRNA
AAGAGAAGACGACGAAGAAGAAGAAGACAUAUUAGCUGAAUCAACGCAAUUUCUCGGCAGCUGUAAAUGUGUCAUUUGCAUUUGGA